AUUGAACGCUGGCGGCAGGCUUAACACAUGCAAGUCGAGCGAGAGGCGGACGGGUGAGUAAUGUCUGGGAAACUGCCUGAUGGAGGGGGAUAACUACUGGAAAAGGUAGCUAAUACCACCUACCAUCAGAUGUGCCCAGAUGGGAUUAGGUAGUAGGUGGGGUAAUGGCGCACCUAGGCGAAGAUCCCUAGGGGGUCGGAGAGGAUGACCAGCCACACUGGAACUGAGACACGGUCCAGACUCCUACGGGAGGCAGCAGUGGGGAAUAUUGCACAAUGGGCGCAAGCCUGAUGCAGCCAUGCCGCGUGUGUGAAGAAGGCCUUCGGGUUGUAAAGCACUUUCAGCGAGGAGGCGUUACCCGCAGAAGAAGCACCGGCUAACUCCGUGCCAGCCGCCGCGGUAAUUC
rnacentral:rRNA from 1 species